UAUAAGAUGGCGGCGCUGAGCGGUGGCGGUGGUGGCGGCGCGGAGCCGGGCCAGGCUCUGUUCAACGGGGACAUGGAGCCCGAGGCCGGCGCCGGCGCCGCGGCCUCUUCGGCUGCGGACCCUGCCAUUCCGGAGGAGGUGUGGAAUAUCAAACAAAUGAUUAAGUUGACACAGGAACAUAUAGAGGCCCUAUUGGACAAAUUUGGUGGGGAGCAUAAUCCACCAUCAAUAUAUCUGGAGGCCUAUGAAGAAUACACCAGCAAGCUAGAUGCACUCCAACAAAGAGAACAACAGUUAUUGGAAUCUCUGGGGAACGGAACUGAUUUUUCUGUUUCUAGCUCUGCAUCAAUGGAUACCGUUACAUCUUCUUCCUCUUCUAGCCUUUCAGUGCUACCUUCAUCUCUUUCAGUUUUUCAAAAUCCCACAGAUGUGGCACGGAGCAACCCCAAGUCACCACAAAAACCUAUCGUUAGAGUCUUCCUGCCCAACAAACAGAGGACAGUGGUGAGUCAGUUUUAAUAUCACCAUUUUGCUGUUUCUUUGUAUUUUUCAGACAGAUCAGUUGUUGAAAAUUAAUAUAUUAUUACUUAAUACUCAAAGGUCAUGCAAAUAGAGGCAUCCAUGUCAUACAGGAAUGAAAAAUAUAUAAUUAUUUGGUGGCAAAGUCUAUAUUCCUUAACUGAAAUAAAUGGUAUUGUCUCUAGUGUUGGAUUUGACAUUUAAACCUGUCUGCCAAACUUGAACCACAGUCAUGUCUAAGCACUAGUUUAAAAUAAAUCAGGAUUUUAAGACUUGAGCUUGUUCAUUAUCUAAUGUGUGUCAGGUAAGACUCAUUCUUCACCCUUGAGAAAUCUCCUUUCUGAGUUAUAUUAUCAGAUGUUGAACGUUCAGUGUGAUUGAUAUGUUUCCCCUCAUCUACUUCAUUUUUGGUUGUUGAAUAUUAGUAUUACCAUUGGAACAGCGUACCCUGUAACAUUUGAAGCAUUUAAAGAGAAAUCUGUGGAAUUAUUGUGGGUGGUCUAUAAUCCUUAAGUGCAACGAAUAUUG
rnacentral:sRNA from 1 species